rnacentral:rRNA from 1 species
CGGACGGGUGAGUAAUGUCUGGGAAACUGCCUGAUGGAGGGGGAUAACUACUGGAAACGGUAGCUAAUACCGCAUAACGUCGCAAGACCAAAGAGGGGACCUUCGGGCCUCUUGCCAUCAGAUGUGCCCAGAUGGGAUUAGCUAGUAUGGUGGGGUAACGGCUCCACCUAGGCGACGACUCCCUAGCUGGUCUGAGAGGAUGACCAGCCACACUGGAACUGAGACACGGUCCAG